rnacentral:rRNA from 1 species
GGUUAAGUGAAUAAGCGUACAUGGUGGAUGCCUAGGCAAUAAGAGGCGAAGAAGGACGUGCUAACCUGCGAAAAGUCAUGAUGAGCUGGUAAGAAGCGCAAAAGUCAUGGAUGUCCGAAUGGGGGAACCCAGCAUCAGUUAUGAUGUUAUCAGAGCAAUCUGAGGCGAACCGGGAGAAGUGAAACAUCUCAGUACCCCGAGGAAAAGAAAUCAACCGAGAUUUCCUAAGUAGUGGCGAACGAACGGGAAGCAGCCCAAAAGUUGUAUAAGUCAUAGUUGAAUUAUCUGGAAAGGUAAACGAAAGAGAGUGAUAGUCUCGUAGACGAAGUGGCUUAUAUGAUGAUGAAAGAGUAGGACGGAACACGUGGAAUUCUGUCUGAAGAUAGGGGGACCAUCCUCUAAGGCUAAAUACUACUUAUUGACCGAUAGUGAACAAGUACCGUGAGGGAAAGGCGAAAAGAACCCCUGUUAGGGGAGUGAAAUAGAAACUGAAACCGUGUACGUACAAGCAGUGGGAGCACUACGGUGUGACUGCGUACCUUUUGUAUAAUCGGUCAGCGAGUUACUUUCAGUGGCGAGGUUAACCGCAUAGGGGAGCCGAAGGGAAAACCGAGUUUUAACUGAGCGCGAGUCGCUGGGAGUAGACCCGAAACCUGAUGAUCUAGUCAUGGGCAGGAUGAAGGCAAGGUAACACUUGCUGGAGGGCCGAACCCACUAACGUUGCAAAGUUAGGGGAUGACCUGUGACUAGGGGUGAAAGGCCAAUCAAAUCAGGUGAUAUCUGGUUCUCCCCGAAAGCUAUUUAGGUAGCGCCUCAAAUGAAAGUUAUGGGAGGUAGAGCACUGUUUCGAUAAGGGGUCCAUCCCGGAUUGCCGAGUCGAUGCAAACUCCGAAUACUCAUAAGGACUAUUUGGGAGACAGACAGCGGGUGCUAAGGUCCGUUGUCGAGAGGGAAAGAGCCCAGACCGCCAGCUAAGGUCCCGAAGUUAAGGUUAAGUGGGAAACGAUGUGGGAAGGCAUAGACAGCUAGGAUGUUGGCUUAGAAGCAGCCAUCAUUAAAAGAAAGCGUAAUAGCUCACUAGUCGAGUCGGCCUGCGCGGAAGAUGUAACGGGGCUAAAACCUUACACCGAAGCUGCGGAAUUAAGAAAUUAAUUGGUAGGGGAGCGUUCUGUAAGGCUGUGAAGGGCAACUGGAAGGUUGACUGGAGCUAUCAGAAGUGCGAAUGCUGACGUGAGUAACGAUAAUAUAUGUGAAAAACAUAUACGCCGAAAGACCAAGGGUUUCUGUCCAACGUUAAUCGGGGCAGAGUGAGUCGGUACCUAAUGUAAGGCUGAAAAGCGUAGACGAUGGAUAUUCGGUUAAUAUUCCGAAACUAGGCAUUGAUUGUGAGGAAGGACGGAGAAGGCUAGUGCUGCUUACUGUUGGAAUAGUAAGUGGAAGGCGGUAGUUCCGGUGUGUACGAAGAAAAGGCACGCUGAAGGACGAGAGCCGAGAGGAUUACACUACGGUGUAAGAAGAGCAUGAUGCCAGGCUUCCAGGAAAAGUUCCGUACACGUUAAUUAAUGCUGGCCGUACCCGAAACCGACACAGGUGGUCGGGUAGAGAAUACCAAGGCGCUUGAGAGAACUCGGGUGAAGGAACUAGGCAAAAUAGUACCGUAACUUAGGGAGAAGGUAUGCUGAGGAGAUUGAGCAUCCGCGCGAUGUAAGGUUGAAUCAGUGACAGCAAAGAGGUGGCUGGGACUGUUUAACAAAAACACAGCACACUGCGAACACGGAAGUGGAAGUAUAGUGUGUGACACCUGCCCGGUGCCGGAAGGUUAAAUGAUGAAGUCAUCGCAAGAGAAGCUUCUGAUUGAAGCCCCGGUAAACGGCGGCCGUAACUAUAACGGUCCUAAGGUAGCGAAAUUCCUUGUCGGGCAAGUUCCGACCUGCACGAAUGGUGUAACCAUGGCCACGCUGUCUCCACCCGAGACUCAGUGAAAUCGAAAUCGCUGUGAAGAUGCAGUGUACCCGCGGCUAGACGGAAAGACCCCGUGAACCUUUACUAUAGCUUGACACUGAACAUUGAGUCUGUCUGUGUAGGAUAGAUGGGAGACAGAGAAGCGAGUACGCCAGUAUUCGUGGAGUCGGCCGGUGAAAUACCAUUCUGGGAGACUUGGUGUUCUAACCAAAUAUUAACAGAUAAUGGGACAGUGUCUGGUGGGUAGUUUGACUGGGGCGGUCUCCUCCUAAAGGGUAACGGAGGAGCACGAAGGUUGGCUAAUCACGGUCGGACAUCGUGAGGUUAGUGUAAUGGUAGAAGCCAGCUUAACUGCGAGACAGACGAGUCGAGCAGGUGCGAAAGCAGGUCAUAGUGAUCCGGUGGUUCUGCAUGGAAGGGCCAUCGCUCAACGGAUAAAAGGUACUCUGGGGAUAACAGGCUGAUACCGCCCAAGAGUUCAUAUCGACGGCGGUGUUUGGCACCUCGAUGUCGGCUCAUCACAUCCUGGGGCUGAAGUUGGUCCCAAGGGUAUGGCUGUUCGCCAUUUAAAGUGGUACGCGAGCUGGGUUCAAAACGUCGUGAGACAGUUUGGUCCCUAUCUGCCGUGGGCGCUGGAUGAUUGAAGGGAGUUGCUCCUAGUACGAGAGGACCGGAGUGAACGAACCGCUGGUGUAUGGGUUGUCAUGCCAAUGGCACUGCCCGGUAGCUACGUUCGGAAUCGAUAACCGCUGAAAGCAUCUAAGCGGGAAGCGAGCCUUAAGAUAAGUCAUCCCGAACUAUAAGUUUGUAAGGGACGUUGGAGACUACGACGUUGAUAGGCUGGGAGUGGAAGUGCAGUGAUGCAUGUAGCGGACCAGUACUAAUGACCCGAGAGGCUUAACCAU